GAUAUGGCGAAAUUGGUAGACGCUACGGACUUAAU
rnacentral:tRNA from 1 species